rnacentral:rRNA from 1 species
AACGAACGCUGGCGGCAGGCUUAACACAUGCAAGUCGAACGCGUGCAGCAAUGCACGAGUGGCGCACGGGUGAGUAACGAGUGGAUAUCUGCCUUUUGGCUCGGAAUAACCCCGGGAAAAUGGGGCUAAUACCGGAUGGUUCCUACGGGAUAAAGAUUUAUCGCCAAAAGAUGAGUCCGCGUCCGAUUAGCUAGUUGGUGAGGUAAUGGCUCACCAAGGCGACGAUCGGUAGCUGGUCUGAGAGGACGAUCAGCCACACUGGGACUGAGACACGGCCCAGACUCCUACGGGAGGCAGCAGUGGGGAAUAUUGGACAAUGGGGGCAACCCUGAUCCAGCCAUGCCGCGUGAGUGAUGAAGGCCUUCGGGUUGUAAAGCUCUUUUGGCGGGGACGAUGAUGACGGUACCCGCAGAAUAAGCCCCGGCUAACUUCGUG